rnacentral:rRNA from 1 species
UGGGCAUGCGUGACAUUAGCUAGUCGGCGGGGUAACGGCCCACCGAGGCGACGAUGUCUAGGGGUUCUGAGAGGAAGGUCCCCCACACUGGUACUGAGACACGGACCAGACUCCUACGGGAGGCAGCAGUGAGGAAUAUUGGUCAAUGGGCUUACGCCUGAACCAGCCAAGUCGCGUGAGGGAAGACUGCCCUAUGGGUUGUAAACCUCUUUUGUCAGGGAGCAACGCCGGCUACGUGUAGCCGGACUGAGAGUACCUGAAGAAAAAGCAUCGGCUAACUCCGUGCCAGCAGCCGCGGUAAUACGGAGGAUGCGAGCGUUAUCCGGAUUUAUUGGGUUUAAAGGGUGCGUAGGCGGAAUGCCAAGUCAGCGGUAAAAUCGCGGGGCUCAACCUCGCUCCGCCGUUGAAACUGGCGUUCUUGAGUGGGCGAGAAGUAUGCGGAAUGCGUGGUGUAGCGGUGAAAUGCAUAGAUAUCACGCAGAACUCCGAUUGCGAAGGCAGCAUACCGGCGCCCAACUGACGCUGAAGCACGAAAGCGUGGGUAUCGAACAGGAUUAGAUACCCUGGUAGUCCACGCAGUAAACGAUGAAUACUAGCUGUUCGGGGCAAAUGAGCCUUGAGUGGC